AGUGGCCUCAGGUCAUGGUGCUUAAGCUAGGUUCCUGAGGUCAGGCCAAUGGAAUCACCUAUAUGCUGCUAACAAUAGAUCUUUAAGCCAGGAGUAACGGGGCAUUUGAAGACAUUCUGUGCUUUGGUAGCUAGUUUUAUGUCAACCUAUCACAAGUAAAAGUCAUCAGAGAGGGAGGAACCUAAGCUAAGAAAAUGCAUCUAUAAGAUUGGGCUGUAGGCAACCUUUAGAGCAUUGUCUUAGUGAUGGUGGAGUGCCCAGCCCAGCCCAUUGUGAGUGGUGCCAUCCCUCUGCUGGUGGUCCUGGGUACUAACUUCUGUCUUAAUGUUCUAUUUCUGUGAAGAGAAAGCAUGAACGAGGCAACUCAUAAAAGAAUACACUUAAUUGGGAACUUGCUUACAGGUUCAGAGAGGUAAACCCUCAUCAUCAUGGUGAAUGUGAUGGCAGGCAGAGAGGCAUGUGUUGGAGAAAUAGCUGUGAGUGUACAUCCUAACCUGGCAGUGGGGGUGGGAGGAGAGAAAAGCCUAUGGGAGGGCAUUCUCAUUCAAACCACCACAGACUCAGAAACCAUCACCUUACCACUAGCUGUAAAAAUGAGUAUGUACAACAGAUAUUGAACUUUGAAGUCACCCUGUCUUCAAACCAGGUACCUACUCCCACCCAAUACCCAGAGUUAUCUAGAGGCACCUGCUAAGCGUCUCAGCAGCCCGAACUCUACCCCAUCUUAGGAUCAGCACGCAGCUGCUGUACCUCAGGACUGGCAGCUUUAGAUCCUAGCAUGGUUCCCAGAGACUGAGAGGGCAGCAGUGCCCACACACUCUGUGACUAAUUUUUGAAAGAAUAACCUACUAAUCAGCGUGGGAGGGAGCAGAACAGCGAAUGUGCCUGUCUUCAUAUGGUAUCACACAUCAUGUAAUACAAAUGUACUAUCUAAUUCAGCAUGGUUUCUUCCCUCCCACACUCUCCCUGCGAUGGCUUAGUGUUUAUUUCUCUUCUGAGAACUUCUCAAAGGUGUGGACUAAUUUUCACCACUGGCUAUAUGUGGAUUGGAUAGAUGAACACACUCAUCCAUUCAACGCGUAUUUGCUGAGUCAUAAGCAUCACUGUGGAGUUGUAGGAGAGCUUGAGACAGACGUGCCCUGUGAUCCCACGGGGCUCCCUGUUUAGGAAUGAGACAACAGACAGCUUCCAAUAAGAAGCUGAAUAAGGAGAUCCCAGAGAGCAAGUGUGAUAAACCCUCAGGAGCCUACUGAGGCAAAUGUCUGUGGCACUUCCCUGUAAGGACAAAGCAGUGUGUCCUGUGUCCCCGAGUUUCAUCUCUGUGCAGAAGGUCCCUACAGAGGAAAGGAGGGAUCCAGACUGACCUGAAAUGACCCAGUCCUCCCCCAACGCUCGAGCAGCAGCAUGGCUUAACUGCAUUAGUGUGUCCUGCCAUUGUCUGGAGGUGACAAGACGUGGCCUCUCUAACCGAUGGGUUUACAGGAGUAUCCCAGCCAGUCUCUGCCCUGUGACUGUAAGUUUAAAGAUACGAAUCUCAGAUUGUUUGAAGUUAAAAAAAAAUCUCCAUUCUUCUAUUCCCUUUCUUUUCUUUCACUUUCUACACUAAGUAAGAAAGUGCCUCUUCCAGAAAUGACCUGUAUGAGCCCAUCUUUCCCUGUAAGGAGAAAAAUGAAAGCUGCCACUGCCUGAGUCCUGACAGUGGAAAGCCUGUUGUAUUUGUAAAACAUAUGUAUAUGCAGGGAAAUUAUUUUUUUAAAAAGAAUAUAUAAUAAAUGUAUUUUGACUGCUUUAUGUGCCUAAGUAAUAAAAGAAAAACAAACUUAAUUGAUCUAAACCAAAUGUGCCCCUUGAUGCAUGUAGAAACUCCCAUGGAGAUAAUGGAAGGUUGUGUUUGGAUUUCAGCAUCAUGUGUGUUAUCCAAAGGCAGAGACUGGUAUUUAGUACACGUGAAUGUGUUCUGCAUCCAUAUAUUAGGUUUUUGUGUAUGCCUGUGAUUUCUGUAUUUCUACUGAUAGCCUGGGAUGGAGAGGAGUGUUGAGAGCUGAGCUGACUGGCAGAAGCCAUGUGAGUAGAGUAGAGGGCUAGGAGCAUUUGUGCUCUCAUUUCUCCUUGGUAAAAGGUCUCCGUGAGUAUGCUUGGAAAAACAUUUUAGGAAUUUCCAUGGUGGUGAUAACUUCUAGUUCUCUGUGAUUGUACCAUGUGGGGCUGAAAAGGGGCAAAUAGCAAAUGCCCUUUGCUUCUCUGCUUAGCUUUGUUUAUGAGCCUUGUUCUGUAGACAUAUGAGCUAAAGUAGGAGCAGAAAUAAUGAAGGUAUGAUAAUAACUUUCUCACCAAUAUGAUCAAAUGCCUGGCUCAAAGGAGGAAGGCUUUACCUUGGUGUAAAGUGCCCCAGUCCUCUAUGAUGGGAAGGGCACAGCAAAGCAGAAAUGCUUGGAGUGUAGAGUGUGGGGUGUUAUAUUUAUAUCAUGAGAGAUAAGAAGUAAGAGAGAGUGGAUGGGAUCAGGGACUUUCAAAGUAAUGCCCCUGCCUAGUGACCUGCGUCUUCCAGGUAGGGCCUACCUCCUUAAGUUUACAUCAUCUCUCUAAAAUAAUGUCAUCGGGUAUAAGCCACGCAUUCAGCACAUGAGCCCGUGGGUAACACAUUAUAUAACCAUCUUCCUCAUCUGUAAAACCAAGGUUCAGAAUCCAAGAGAGGGAAGCACAGACACUGGGGACUGGGGGAGGGCGCCCCUUCAAACUUGUACUAAGUCUAAUUUUGUCAAGUGAAAUGAUCAAAACAAAUUACAUAUUUAUUCUAGGCACCCAUGGAAAUGGUGAGGGCAAAUUAUUCCAACGCAAUUACUCUUCAGAAAAGAGUUAUUAUUCAAUUUCUACUCUUGCUCUUAAUACUUCACUUAUAUUUAUAUCCCUAAUGCUAUCAGGACACAUUAAUCCAAGCAAGACACCAGCCAAGAAUCUCAGCUAUCAUUUAUAUUUGGUAUGCUUUUCUACAUGCAUUUACAACACCAAUUAAAGCACAUACAUGCAGACAGACAGACAAACAGACCCACAAUCACAUGCUCCUCCCUCACCCACAGCAGAGCCAUUUGUGACAGGCUAAUUCCUAGUAGAUUCUCAGUGGAUUGGUUUCACAGCUUAGCUAUUCAUCGUCAGACAGGGAGUCUGUGUUCUCCCACCCCCGACCCCAUGCACUUCCAGUUUGCAGAAUGGUGCCAGACUGGCAUCUUGUCUUGUGACUUGAUAACAGAUUCCAUUAAUAGUGCAUCCAGUGGCCCUGACAUCCAGUCCUGCUCAGCUGGGGGCAUCUGGCAAUUAGUGCCAGCCUGGAGAACUGCAAGGGCUGUGGAGCCAGUGCCAGGUCAUACAUAGAGGCUGACUGUGGUCCACAACCUCUGUAUGCACAAGGAAUUGCAAAAAGGGAGCUUUGAAAUG
rnacentral:lncRNA from 1 species